AUUCCGAUGACAACGGACGGAGGCUAGUUUUUAAAUAAAAAGUUUUAUCCAUCAGUUAAUUCGCCGGGAAGCGAGUAAGUGGAUGUAUAUCCACUUCCGAGAAGAGUAUUCUGUGUACUUGCAACGCAUCUACAAAUGCGGAUGUCUAUAGUGAUACUUCCUAUUUUGGCGAAUUCCGAUGGCUGCUCGCUCAUUUGUCAUUUGACGUAUUCAAUCGUCACUCAUCUCUUCAAUGUCGUCAUAUCCGUUAGAGAGAAUUAUGAAAAAAUCUACACAAACAUAUCUAUUAAAACUGUAGACGGCAAAGAUUAAGAAUUUACAAAGUAGAAGCGACAUCUAGUAUUGGAAAAAAGAAACAAGAAAUCAUUAACAAUACGAACCGGAUACUAUUACUACCGAGUCUUCAGUAUGUCGCGUGUCAUUCAGGGUUAAACGGAAGCUCAAUAAAGAAGAAAGACGUACAAAGGCAUUCAAAGGAAGCUGGCGUGUGCCAUUCAUAGAGUAUAAUUGAAAAAGAAAUUGCUUUAGAAAGACCCUGACCUGUGGAGGAUUGCAACAAUGACCUUUAUUUAUAUAAAAAAAGUCUACUUUUGUUUUUUUUUUGUAUUGUCAAGUAUUUUUUUA